UUUACUCUUUUACUUACCAUUGGGGAAUAUGUGAAAACAACCUAUAAAGACAAUAAUAUCAUACAGAUCAUAACUUCAUGCACAAUCAGUAACAUAGAACAUAUUAUAAAUUCAUAUUCAUUAACAAUAACUAAUCAUCACCAUUUCUCGUUUCACCAGCCUACUAGUAUCCAUGAGGAUCCAUAGAGGUGUCCCCGCUACAUGUGAACCAUUUCUCUUAACAAUCUUAAUUCCAAGGUCGUCCCCAUACUUCGUCUGGUAUGAGUGCCAAGACAUUAAACCUCAAUACCCCGUCUGGUAUGAGGGUGAAGCGAGCCGUCCCCAUACCCCGUCCGGUAUGAGCGUCAAAUGACCAAGUCUCCAUACCUCAUCCGGUAUGAGACAACAUUCACAGUAGGGUUCCCUAUCAACCGAGUCCGUCCACCAUCUCCUAGGAUAUUUAGUGAGGCUGUCACCUUAUCUGUUUCCAAUUUCUCCUUAAUCUCCGUUACCAAAUUAAACACAAUCACAUAAACAAUGAACAUGCACCCGGUAAUACAAUCAUAUCUU
rnacentral:lncRNA from 1 species